rnacentral:rRNA from 1 species
UGGGGAAUAUUGCACAAUGGGCGCAAGCCUGAUGCAGCCAUGCCGCGUGUGUGAAGAAGGCCUUCGGGUUGUAAAGCACUUUCAGCGGGGAGGAAGGCGAUAAGGUUAAUAACCUUGUCGAUUGACGUUACCCGCAGAAGAAGCACCGGCUAACUCCGUGCCAGCAGCCGCGGUAAUACGGAUGGUGCAAGCGUUAAUCGGAAUUACUGGGCGUAAAGCGCACGCAGGCGGUCUGUCAAGUCGGAUGUGAAAUCCCCGGGCUCAACCUGGGAACUGCAUUCGAAACUGGCAGGCUAGAGUCUUGUAGAGGGGGGUAGAAUUCCAGGUGUAGCGGUGAAAUGCGUAGAGAGCUGGAGGAAUACCGGUGGCGAAGGCGGCCCCCUGGACAAAGACUGACGCUCAGGUGCGAAAGCGUGGGGAGCAAACAGG